GGACUACUGGGGUAUCUAAUCCUGUUUGCUACCCACGCUUUCGUGCCUCAGCGUCAGAACAGGCCCAGGAGGUUGCCUUCGCCAUCGGUGUUCUUCCAGAUAUCUACGCAUUUCACCGCUACACCUGGAGUUCCGCCUCCCUCUACCGUUCUCUAGCCUGCCAGUAUCGACUGCAAUUCCCAGGUUAAGCCCAGGGCUUUCACAACCGACUUAACAAACCGCCUACGCACGCUUUACGCCCAGUAAAUCCGAUUAACGCUUGCACCCUCUGUAUUACCGCGGCUGCUGGCAC
rnacentral:rRNA from 1 species